GACGAACGCUGGCGGCGUGCUUAACACAUGCAAGUCGAACGAAGUGGCGAACGGGUGAGUAAUACGUGCGUAACCUGCCCUCCUUUUUGGGAUAAGCCUUGGAAACGGGGUCUAAUACCGAAUAAAGGGGGAUGGGCUCGCGGCCUAUCAGCUGGUUGGUGGGGUGAUGGCCUACCAAGGCGGUGACGGGUAGCCGGCCUGAGAGGGUGACCGGCAAUAUUGGGACUGAGAUACGGCCCAGGCAGCUGGGGGAGGCAGCAGUGGGGGAUAUUGCGCAAUGGGUGAAAGCCUGAUGCGGCGACGCCGCGUGGGGGAUGGAGGCUUUCGGGUUGUAAACCUGUGUCGCUAUCGAACCGGUAGGUGGAGAAGAAGCGCCGGCUAACUACGUGCCAGCAGCCGCGGUAAUUC
rnacentral:rRNA from 1 species